rnacentral:misc_RNA from 1 species
CCGAGUUUACAACUCCCAAACCCCUGUGAACAUACCUAUAUGUUGCCUCGGCGGAUCAGCCCGCGCCCCGUAAAACGGGACGGCCCGCCGCAGGAUCCACAAACUCUGUUUUAUUGUCAUUCUGAGCAUAACUAAAAAAUAAUUA